rnacentral:rRNA from 1 species
GACGAACGCUGGCGGCGUGCCUAAUACAUGCAAGUUGAGCGCUGAAGGUUGGUACUUGUACCAACUGGAUGAGCAGCGAACGGGUGAGUAACGCGUGGGGAAUCUGCCUUUGAGCGGGGGACAACAUUUGGAAACGAAUGCUAAUACCGCAUAAAAACUUUAAACACAAGUUUUAAGUUUGAAAGAUGCAAUUGCAUCACUCAAAGAUGAUCCCGCGUUGUAUUAGCUAGUUGGUGAGGUAAAGGCUCACCAAGGCGAUGAUACAUAGCCGACCUGAGAGGGUGAUCGGCCACAUUGGGACUGAGACACGGCCCAAACUCCUACGGGAGGCAGCAGUAGGGAAUCUUCGGCAAUGGACGAAAGUCUGACCGAGCAACGCCGCGUGAGUGAAGAAGGGUUACGGAUCGUAAAACUCUGUUGGUAGAGAAGAACGUUGGUGAGAGUGGAAAGCUCAUCAAGUGACGGUAACUACCCAGAAAGGGACGGCUAACUACGUG